CCCCUCGGUGCUCCACUCCGAUCAGGGUCGGAAUUUCGAAUCGGAGGUAUUCACCACUAUGUGUAACCAGCUGGGCAUCCGGAAGACAAGGACCACUCCCCUGCACCCACAAAGUGACGGGCUGGUGGAGCGUUUCAUGCGGACCUUGGGCGCUCAGCUAGCCCUCACCACCGCUCCAGAUCAGAGUGACUGGGACCUGCAGCUACCCCUCAUUCUCAUGGCCUGCCGCAGUGCGGUCCAAGAAUCCACUGGCUGUACUCCUGCUUUGCUGAUGUUGGGCAGGGAGCUUAGAACACCACCAGAGCUGGCCUAUGGACGACCACCCGAUGCACCAGAUGCCAUGGCUGGGCCAGAGUAUGCCAGGCAGUUACAGGACCGCCUAGAGGCGGCCCACGGAUUUGCCCGACGUCAGGCUGAACAGGCAGGGGUCCGUCAGAAAAGAUGCUAUGACCUGCGAGCCAAGGGGCAGGACUUCCAGGCUGGGGACCUCGCCUGGGUGUAUGGACCCAAGAGAGUGAAAGGCCGCUGCCCCAAACUGGACAGCAACUGGGUUGGGCCCUGUUAUGUGGUGGAGAGAGUUGGAGAAGUUGUGUAUCGAGUCAAACUGGCUCCCAGAGGUCGCACGGUUGUGCUGCACAGGGAUAGGAUGGCACCAUACCGGGGGAAGCAGCAACCCGCCUUUCCAGUGACAACCUCUAGGGCACGGGUGAGAUCGUCACAUCGCAAUAGGGCCCCACCGAGGCGGCGUCAGGAUGUGCCACCAGGAGAGGCUGUGACACCGCUUGGAGCCCUGGUGCCUAGGGACAAUGCCACAACCAUUGGGACCCUGCUGUUGGAUGGUGGAAUCAGAAGGUCGCAGAGGGAACGGCGCCCUCCGGGUCGCUUUCAAGACUUUCUUCUUCCUCGGGGACGAGGAAUUAGAGGGGGGGGCUGUGUAGCGACCCUGCAGGACUUUGGGGGGGAUUGAUGGGAAGUUGUGGGGGAAGGAGUUGCCCUAGUUAGUCAGGAUAGGCCAGUUUUGUUUGGAGCGGAGGGAUCAGGGUAGUGUGGGGUGAAGAAGGCGGAGGGAGACGAAAAAGAGGAGAGAGUCGGGGAGGAAGAAAAAGCGAGACGCCACGACGAGUUGCCAGCCGAGUUAGCUCUCCGUUUUUGUUAUUUUCGGCACUCCUCCAACCCAGUAUUAGCCUGUUUUUGAGGGUAAUAAAACCCGGUUCACCCGGUUAAACGGCAGCCACUCUGUGUCCUCGUCAUUCGGCUAGUUAGCCCCGUAGUGUCGGGCCGCAAACGCCACAAUAUUAUUACUGAUUGUUUUAAGUUUAAAGCACUUUCGCUAUUUUUAAGUUUUUAUAGCCCCUCCCAUAAUUUU
rnacentral:lncRNA from 1 species